GAUGGAAGUUGGAUCAAGUUGGUUGGGGGAAGCAUUUUUGGUUUUGCUGCUGCAGCUACCACUGUGAUUGCCAUCAGCUGCGAUUCCUUGUGCCUCGCGGAGUCUCUCAUCAUCACUUUCCCUGCUUCUCGUGGAGAGCUUGAUCGGCCUUGUGAAUAGGAUCGAGAGGGCCUAUAUGGUCCUUGGCGACUACGGUGGUGACAACUCCUUGCUAACUCUUUGGGAAGCCCUUCUGUUCAUCAUUGUCGUCAGUGGAUAGAAUUCUGCAGAAUCAUCGAUUUUGGAGAGCAUCGUUAGACGGGAUUUUCUUCUUAGGGGAUCUGGUUGGAGUUCUGAAUUUUUUAUUCUUUUACUUUUAUUAUUUUAAUUUUUUUUUUGAGUUUUUUCUAUGGUGGAUCUUGUGGUAUUCUUGAAGGGAUUGUCACAUGUCGGCCACUAGUUCUGCAGCUGCACAAGACAGACAAAGGACAGACGGAGUAUGUUGAGUUUCUUCACUCUCCAAAGAGGAGAUUUUCAGGUUUAGGUAAAUCUUGUUUUUCUAUUGCUUCAUAGAUUCGAUGUUUGAUUUAUGGGUCUUUUUUGCCCUGAAAUCUCCCCUACAUUGUCGCUGCUUCUUGAUUUUAUUUUCAUCUUGAAUUCUCUCAAUUCUAACUCGACGAGUACACGCAUACAGCAACAAACAUCUUCAAGUAGGCAGAGGAACUGCAAAGGCGAAAUAAUUACUCUCUACUACCAUUGAUCUGAAAUGUUUUUUUAAUGAAAUAAGGGCUAUGGACUGCGAAGACGAUCAGCCCAACAAUGCCAUCCAUGUUCCACAAGCUAAUGCAUGAAGUGGCUUGAUGAGAGGUUUACCAGUUCAGUCUUCUUCAUUUCAUUCGACAGUGUGGCCAAUCUAGGAGUGGACCACAUGAAGGAUUUUUUACUUAUUUUUAUGUAUUCAAGACCAUUUUCAACCUAUUGUUGUAAAUAUUAUAUAUUUUAUUGUAAAGUAAUACAAUUUUGUUUAAUAUUCAUUUUUAAUUGUAUCCUAACAUUUUUUAGCUUUCAAAUAUUAAAAAAAUACAGGUUCCAACUGAAAAAAAAUAAAAAAAUUUCUGGCUUUUGC